GUGCAGCAGCGCCAUCUCAGCUCACUGCAACCUCCACCUCUUGGGUUCAAGCGAGUCUCCUGCCUCAGCCUCCUGAGUAGCUGGGAUUACAGGCAUCUGAGCCCACUGUCAAACCCACCUACUGUAUCUCAUUGCAGGCUCAAAUAAUAGCCAUUAAUGCAAGGUAGGUUCCAAUCCCAAGUCUCCAAGCAAUGAUUUUGGGGCAGAGGAUGUACUAUACAUACACCUAUGGACAUUUCUUGGCAUCUUAUUACAAUGCUUUGCAAUGUGGCAUGGGGUUUGUUUCUCAGAUUUUACACAGGAAGUUUACUUACUGAUAUAUAGGUUGAGCAUUCCAAAUCAAAAACCCGAAAUCCUCCAAAAAUUGAAACUUUUUGAGCAUCAGCCUGAUGCUCAGAGGAAAUGUCCACUGGAGCAUUACGGAUUUUGGAUUUUUGGAUUUGGGAUGCUCAACUGAUAAGUAUAUUAUGCAAAUAUUCCAAAAUCCAAAAAAAUGCAAACUCCAAAACACUGUGAUUCCCAAGCUGUUUAUUAUUUUCUGAGAUGGAGUCUUGCACCGUUACCCAGGCUGGAGUGCAGUGGUGCAAUCUCGGCUCACUGCAACCGCCAUCUCCUGGGUUCAAGUGAUUCUUGUGCCUCAACCACCUGAGUAGCUGGGAUUACAGAUAUGCGCCACUAUGCCCGGCCAAUUUUUGUAUUUUUAGUAGAGACAGGGUUUUGCCAUGUUGCCCAGGCUGGUCUUGAACUCCUGGCCUCAAGUGAUCCUUCUGCCUGGGCCUCCCAAAUUGCUGGGAUUACAGGCAUGAGCCACUGUGCGUAGCUCCCUAGGUAUUUAAACGAGGAACAUAUUCAACCUGUACUAAAAACAUUGUGUUAUGUCUUUCCAUGUCCCAGAAAUGGAUUCAGGGACAUCAUUUCUAUUCCUCAUAGAAAUGAGCCAUCUUUAGGUGUUUGGGCGUGGUGACUCAUGCCUGUGAUCCCAGCACUUUGGAAGGUUGAGGCAGGAGGAUCCCUUGAGCCCAGCAGUUUGAGACCAGCCUGGGCAGCACAGUAAGACCCCAUCUCUACAAAAGAUAAAAUUAUAUCACUUCUCAGCCUUUUAGCUAAGAUCAAGUACAAAAAAUAAAAUUAUUAGCCAGCUGUGGUGGUAUGCACCUGCAGUCCCAGCUCCUCAGGAGGCUGAGGUGGGAGGAUCACCUGAGCCCAGGAGGUUGAGGCUUCAGUGAACGGUGAUUGUGCCACUGCACUCCAGCCUGGGUGACAGAGCAAGACCGUGUCUCAAGAAACAAACAAACAAACAAACAAAAAAACAAACAAACAAACUCCUUGGGUAAUGACCCAGCGGUCACCCAUUGUGACCAGUUUUUCCAUGGGACUGAACCACUGUCAUUUGUCUGGUGCUUUAUAACAGCUUACAAAAUACUUCUGCAGCCACUUUCUCAUUUGCUUUUCCCCAGUGCUCAGAGCGUUAUUGGCGAUGUAUAGAUGCAGAAGCUAAGAGAGGUUAAGUCAUUUGCCCAGAGUCACGGAGCAAGGGGAGACCUGGACCUAAGCCCCAGUCCUUGGCCUCUGCUGUCACACUUACUUUCCCAAGUCCCUGCUUUGGGGCCUUUGGUGGCAGCGGGCCAAGGCAGUUCCGGGCACCUGGGCUGAUUGUGUGACUGUGAGUUCGGUAAGCCGAGCCUGGCGGGUGUUUGCAGUUCCCUGAGCUGGCUCCUGGGAAUGCAUUCUGUGCCAUGCAGGGCUGUGUUGCAACGUGACUAAUGGAUGAGAAGGUUGAAGAGGGAAGCCACUACUUCACCAAUGUGAGUCAAGGUCAUUCGUCACCUCGGGAAGCACACGGAGCUGCGACAUUCAGGAGGGAGGCACGCUGCUCCCAAGCCAAACCACGAUGUGGCCUGGUGCCAGUCCCAUGUAGCAGGGAGAAGGGAAGUUUCUGGAAGUGAGGAUGAGCUGGGCAGCCAGGCCCAGGUCCCCGGCCGUGCAUGCAUCAGCCCCUCCUGAGAAAAAGAGCUCAAGUACUACGUGGGGUCUUGCCCACGAGUGGGGCAACGGUACAGCUUCCAGGAGGCGUUGGCAGGAGCUGACUGGCCACUGACACUGACUGGGGUCUCUGGGGGACGGGGACUGGAGGAUCAGUGGCCUCUGACCGUCUAGUGUCAUCUGAGGAAAUCAGGCCAAUUGUGAACCACCAGAGUGUCGUCGCCGAGACGGCCUCUCUCCCUAGUAUAACAAGCCACAUUUGCUGCCUUUCUGGGAGAGUUAGAAGCAAGCCACGUGGGUGACUUCUUUUCAAAGUUCUCUGCCUCUGGGGCCUGUUGUGGGGUGGGGGGAGGGGGGAGGGAUAGCAUUAGGAGAUAUACCUAAUGUAAAUGACGAGUUAAUGGGUGCAGCACACCAACAUGGCACGUGUAUACAUAGUAACAAACCUGCACAUUGUGCAUAUGUACCCUAAAACUUAAAGUAUAUAAAAAAAAAGUUCUCUGCCUCAGAGGAGGAAGGCCCAUGGGUGCAGGCCAGGCCUGAGGCCACCCCGCUCUGGGCCAGAGCGUGCCUGUGUCUGAUGAGCGAGGAUGUGCCUCGUCUGAGCUUUCCAUUUCACACUGGUGGCUCGAAUCCUCCAUCACGGCUUCCUUUUGGGCUCCCCUCCUCAGGGGACCGAGCCUGAAAUGUGCCUGCCCUUCAUCCCUAAGGCCUGCAUCCCUUCCUCCGAGAGGACUAAGUUAGCCCCUCCCCCAGUCUUGAUGUUCUCCGAGGCCCUUCCUAUUCACAGAACCUAUCUGGCCUAUUUAUUUGCUUUCUUGCUUCUGACGUCUUCUCUUACUGAAAGGUAAGUUAUAUGGGAGAUGGAAUCAUGCCAGGUUUGGUUCACCAUUACAUCCUCCACACUUUUCUUUUCUGAUUUAUUUAUGUAUUUAUUUUAGAGUCGGAGUCUUGCUCUGUCGCUCAGCCUGGAGUGCAGUGGCACAAUCAUAGCUUACUGCAGCCUCAAACUUCUGGAUGUAAGUGAUCCUCCUGCUUCAGCCUCCUGAGUAACUAAGACUACAGGAAUCGAAGGGCGGAGGAAUGUGUUUUUCGUUGAUGUCAACUUGCUGCAAAGGACCGCACCUGCUUCUCGACCCAGGAACGUGGGAAAGGGAAAGGCAUGGCUUGUUUUGGUGGAGAUGGAGGAGCUGCUAACAGUGGAGGAAUGCCCUUCUUCUGAUUCACAGUGGGGAGGUGCUCUGGGCCCCUGCCACUGCCCGAGGACUUCGGCUUUCGGUUGUCCUGCUGAGAGGACGCGGCAUUUGAGCAGUAGCUUCUGGAGCCCAGAGUGAAGCCCCACCCAGGCACCCUGACAGGACCAUGGGAAUGCUCCCGGCACAGCAAGCAGGAUGCUGGAGAAGCGCAGCCUCCACGUGCCUUGUAGAUGAUGGUGUCUCACUCUGUCACCAGGCUGGAGUGCAGUGGCAUGAUCUUGGCUCACUGCAACCUCCGCCUCCCGCUACACAACCCGCUUCUGACCUUCAGACCUUGCUGGACUGCUUGCCUUCCUUCUCACUUCCACUGCCACCACCAGCAGCUAGCUUUCUUUUGGGGGCCAUUUUUACACAGAAAAGCAAGGGUGGACUAAAGGGAAAGUGCUGAAUCACACCCUGGCUCUUAACACAUCCACCUGUGAGUGACACCUAUCACUUCUGACAGCAUCUCAUUGGCCAAGACUUGUCUCAUGGCCACACCUUACUUUGAAGGGAACAGGGAAGUAAGUAUAUGCCUACCACAUGCCCAACAAAAGAACAGAAGGGAAGAAGAAGUGGAAUAUUUGUUCUUUUAUUUAUUUAUUUAUUUUUUGAGACAGGGUCUCACUUUGCUGCCCAGGGGCUGGAGUGCAGUGGCUUGAUCAUAACUCACUGCAGCCUCGAACUCCUGGGCUCAAGUGAUCCUCCUGUCUCAGCCUCUUGUGUAGCCAGGUCUGCAGGUGCACACCACCAUGCCUGACUAAUUUUUAUACAAUUUUUUAAUAGAGAUGGGGUCUUGCUGUAUUGCCCAGCCUGGUCUCAAACUUUUUUUUUAAAUAGCUAGUCAGGUGUGGUUAUGGGGGUAGACAAUGUUAAAUCAGCUUAACAAUAACCUACGACACCCGGACCAACUAGGUCUCGAAUUUCUGGCCUUAAGCAAGCGUCCUGCCUUGGACUCCCAAAGGGUUGGAAUUAUAGGCCUGAGCCACCACAUCUGGCCAUAUUUAUUCUUAAAAAACCCCCAACUCUUUAUGAAAUUUUAAUUGACGCAUAAUAAAAUAUGCAUAUUUAAAGUC